AUUGAACGCUGGCGGCAGGCCUAACACAUGCAAGUCGGGCGAACGGCGGACGGGUGAGUAAUGUAUGGGGAUCUGCCUGAUGGGGGGGGAUAACUACUGGAAACGGUAGCUAAUACCGCAUACCAUCAGAUGAACUCAUAUGGGAUUAGCUUGUAGGUGAGGUAACGGCUUACCUAGGCGACGAUCCCUAGCUGGUCUGCGAGGAUGAUCAGCCACACUGGGACUGAGACACGGCCCAGACUCCGACGGGAGGCAGCAGUGGGGAAUAUUGGACAAUGGGCGAAAGCCUGAUGCAGCCAUGCCGCGUGUAUGAAGAAGGCCUUCGGAUUGUAAAGCACUUUCAGUAGGGAGGCGUUACCGACAGAAUAAGCACCGGCUAACUCCGUGCCAGCAGCCGCGGUAAUAC
rnacentral:rRNA from 1 species